GGGGAAGGGCGCUCAGUGGUUGAGCAUUUGUCUUGUAAGCAGAAGGUCCCAGUUUCAAUCCCUGGCAUCUCCA